GAAUUCGCCCUUAGAGUUUGAUCCUGGCUCAGGACGAACGCUGGCGGCGUGCUUAACACAUGCAAGUCGAACGAGAAUCACUGGAAGGAGUUUUCGGACAACGGAAGGUGAGGACAGUGGCGGACGGGUGAGUAACGCGUGAGGAACCUGCCUUUCAGAGGGGGACAACAGUUGGAAACGACUGCUAAUACCGCAUGACACAUAGAGAUCGCAUGGUUUUUAUGUCAAAGAUUUAUCGCUGAAAGAUGGCCUCGCGUCUGAUUAGCUAGUUGGUGAGGUAACGGCCCACCAAGGCGACGAUCAGUAGCCGGACUGAGAGGUUGACCGGCCACAUUGGGACUGAGAUACGGCCCAGACUCCUACGGGAGGCAGCAGUGGGGAAUAUUGGGCAAUGGGCGCAAGCCUGACCCAGCAACGCCGCGUGAAGGAAGAAGGCUUUCGGGUUGUAAACUUCUUUUGUCGGGGACGAGUAGAAGACGGUACCUGGCGAAUAAGCCACGGCUAACUACGUGCCAGCAGCCGCGGUAAUACGUAGGUGGCAAGCGUUGUCCGGAUUUACUGGUGUAAAGGGCGUGUAGCCGGGAAGGCAAGUCAGAUGUGAAAUCCACGGGCUUAACUCGUGAACUGCAUUUGAAACUACUUUUCUUGAGUAUCGGAGAGGCAAUCGGAAUUCCUAGUGUAGCGGUGAAAUGCGUAGAUAUUAGGAGGAACACCAGUGGCGAAGGAGGAUUGCUGGACGACAACUGACGGUGAGGCGCGAAAGCGUGGGGAGCAAACAGGAUUAGAUACCCUGGUAGUCCACGCUGUAAACGAUGAAUACUAGGUGUGCGGGGACUGACCCCCUGCGUGCCGCAGUUAACACAAUAAGUAUUCCACCUGGGGAGUACGAUCGCAAGGUUGAAACUCAAAGGAAUUGACGGGGGCCCGCACAAGCGGUGGAUUAUGUGGUUUAAUUCGACGCAACGCGAAGAACCUUACCAGGGCUUGACAUCCUACUAACGAAGUAGAGAUACAUCAGGUGCCCUUCGGGGAAAGUAGAGACAGGUGGUGCAUGGUUGUCGUCAGCUCGUGUCGUGAGAUGUUGGGUUGAGUCCCGCAACGAGCGCAACCCUUAUCCUUAGUAGCCAGCACAUGAUGGUGGGCACUCUAGGGAGACUGCCGGGGAUAACCCGGAGGAAGGCGGGGACGACGUCAAAUCAUCAUGCCCCUUACGAUUCGGGCUACACACGUGCUACAAUGGCGUAAACAAAGGGAAGCGAGACAGCGAUGUUGAGCGAAUCCCAAAAAUAACGUCCCAGUUCGGACUGCAGUCUGCAACUCGACUGCACGAAGCUGGAAUCGCUAGUAAUCGCGGAUCAGAAUGCCACGGUGAAUACGUUCCCGGGUCUUGCACACACCGCCCGUCA
rnacentral:rRNA from 1 species